rnacentral:rRNA from 1 species
GUCCAGACUCCUACGGGAGGCAGCAGUGAGGAAUAUUGGUCAAUGGGCGCGAGCCUGAACCAGCCAAGUCGCGUGAGGGAUGACGGCCCUACGGGUUGUAAACCUCUUUUGUCGGGGAGCAAAUUCCGCCACGUGUGGCGGAGUCGAGAGUACCCGAAGAAAGAGCAUCGGCUAACUCCGUGCCAGCAGCCGCGGUAAUACGGAGGAUGCGAGCGUUAUCCGGAUUUAUUGGGUUUAAAGGGUGCGUAGGCGGGCUGUUAAGUCGGCGGUCAAAUGUCGGGGCUCAACCCCGGCCUGCCGUUGAAACUGAUGUUCUUGAGUGGGCGAGAAGUAUGCGGAAUGCGUGGUGUAGCGGUGAAAUGCAUAGAUAUCACGCAGAACUCCGAUUGCGAAGGCAGCAUACCGGCGCCCAACUGACGCUGAAGCACGAAAGCGUGGGUAUCGAACAGGAUUAGAUACCCGCGUAUGC